AACGAACGCUGGCGGCGCGCCUAACACAUGCAAGUCGAGCGGGAAAGCCCGCAAGGGUGAGUACAGCGGCGCACGGGUGCGUAACACGUGGGUAAUCUGCCCUGAAGCUCGGAAUAACCUCCCGAAAGGGAAGCUAAUGCCGGAUAAGACCACGGGAGCUUCGGCUCCUGAGGGAAAAGGUGGCCUCUGCAUGCAAGCUAUCACUUCAGGAUGAGCCCGCGGCCCAUCAGCUAGUUGGCGGGGUAACGGCCCACCAAGGCUACGACGGGGAGCUGGUAGGAGAGGACGAUCAGCCACACUGGAACUGAGACACGGUCCAGACUCCUACGGGAGGCAGCAGUGGGGAAUCUUGCGCAAUGGGCGAAAGCCUGACGCAGCAACGCCGCGUGUGUGAUGAAGGUCUUCGGAUCGUAAAGCACUGUCGGGAGGGACGAAUAAGGGUCGGGUGAACAAUCCGGUCCGAUGACGGUACCUCCAAAGGAAGCGCCGGCUAACUCUGUGCCAGCCGCCGCGGUAAAAC
rnacentral:rRNA from 1 species